GAUGGAGACGUGGGCGCCGGUUCAGCUGCGAUCCCAGCUGGCGGCUCCAUUCAUUCUGGUCCCAACUUGUGGCUCCAUUCAUUCUGGUCCCGGCUGGUGGGCACCGUUCAUUUCCACCUGGUGGCUCCAUUUGCUCCGGUCCCACCCAGCCGGUGGCUCUGGUCCCCUGUGAUGCCGUGGUUCGGUGUGGGGGGCUCUGACGCCGCGUUCCCCGGCGCAGGAGAAGAGUUGGCGGAACAGCGUCCGCCACAACCUGUCCCUCAACGAGUGCUUCGUCAAAGCCGGCCGCAGCGACAACGGCAAAGGGCAUUUCUGGGCCAUCCACCCCGCCAACCUGGAGGACUUCGCCAAAGGGGACUACCACCGCCGCCGGGCGCGGAGACGCAUCCGCAGGAUGGCGGUGAACAUCAGCUACUGCCACCCCUACGCCCUGUACGGCCUCGGCUGCUGCUGCCCCUGCUGCCCCCCGGCGCCCGCCGGGCCCCCCCUGGGUCCCCCGGCGCUGCCUCCGCUCGUGCUGCCCCCCGGCCCCCACCGCGGGCGCUGGGGGUGGGGACGGGGGCCGGGUCCCCGCGUCCUCGCUCCCCUCUUCCCCGCUCCCCGGCCGCCGUUCCUGUAGCCCCGUGCCCGGGUCCUGGAUGGGGGACACCACCCAGGGGCAGCUCAGUGAGAGGCACCGUCCCCACGGACCCCACCGCCAGCAAAGCCCGACGUGCCAGAGCCUGGGGGGGGAGUCCCUCUGCGGCACUGUCCCUAUAUCUCCAUAGCCCCCUGUUCCGUCAUCCCCAUAUCCCCACGUCCCCACAUCCACGUGUCCCUAUAUCCCCACACCCCACGUCCUCACAUUCCCAUAUCCCGGCAUCCCUCCAUCCCUACGUCCCCACGUCCCUAUAUCCCUACAUCCCUAUGCCUCCAAAUUCCCACCCGCCCCCCCCCCCUCAACCCAGGCUCCAACCCCACACAGGGGCAGAACCCAAGCCCCCCUACGCCCAUGGUUGUUAGGGGGGGACACGGUGCCCCACGGCGGCCCCCCAUGGGACCAGACAUCCUGAGCACAUAUGGGACUUAAACCCCACAGCGGCCGCAUUUGCUGAUUAAGCCACCGCGUUUCUUCGGGAGGACCCUGCCCUAUUUAUUAGUUUUUUGCUGUUAAUUGUCCCUGACGCCCCUAAUGAAAAUCGGGGAUCCCAGGUGUUAAGUGGCAUUAGGGCGUCUCGCUAAGAAAGACGACUUGCCCGCUUAAUCCCGGGAGAUAAACCCCCAAAGCUCAUCGCGGCCUUGAGCACUAGGAAGCUUAUGACACAAAUUAAUCUCUUUGUGUUGGUGACGCCCUCCGUGUGGGGCUGGAGCUUCUGGGGGGGACCCCAUGGGGCUGGGAUGGGAUGAGGGGGGACUUUGGGGUCGGCCCCAUCAGUGCGGCCCGAUCCCGAUCCCUGCCUCAGUUUCCCCCACUCGUGGCCCCUUGGGCGCAGCACCUCUGGUGGUGCCACCGCCCCCAGCCCCACAGCCGGGGGUCCUUAACGUGGCCAUCUGUGGGGUUGGCCCCGACCCGAAUCUGGGCCAAAAAAUGGGAUUAGGGCCCCACGCUGCACCUCGGCAGCGGGAUUAGUGGGGCCGAGCCGCCAAGUCGGCACUAAGGCAUCGGUGGGGGUCCUGGGGGGGACCCCAUCAGCCCUUUGCCACUGGUGGGCGGGGGGGCGGGCACAGCCCUCCUCGGGGUUUGGGGCCAUAUGGGGUUUGGCCAUUGGUUUGUAAUGGGGUUUUGCUCCGUUUAGGGCUUUUCCUCCCUGUGGGGUUUUGCUCCGUGCGGGGUUUGGCCAUUGGUUUGCACUGGGGUUUCUCCUCCAUUCGGGGUCUUUCUUCCAUGUGGGGUUUUGUCAUUAGUUUCCAGUGGGGUUUGGCCAUUGGUUUGCAGUGGGGUUUUCCUCCAUAUGGGGUUUUCCUCCAUGUGGGGGUUUCACUACAGGUUUGCAAUGGGGUUUUGCUCCAUUUGGGGUCUUUC
rnacentral:lncRNA from 1 species